AGUAAGUUCAUUGUGAACCAUCAGUAUACGCGUUGACAGUGCUGCCACUUUAUCUUAUGUAUACAAGUUUUGUGGUUAUUUAUAUACCUUGCUUGUAAAAUAUUAAUUUCACUUUCUCAUUUUAAAUAAUUGCUGGCAAUGAAUCUAAUAGUACGACAUUUAUCUUUAGCGUCUACGAAUAAGUACCUUUGCCGAUUGCUACGCAAAUCUACGUGUGUGAAAAAGAAACCAUUGCUAAAUAGACCUAAUAGCUUCCAUAAAAAUC